rnacentral:rRNA from 1 species
CAUUAUACAGCGAAACUGCGAAUGGCUCAUUAUAUAAGUUAUCGUUUAUUUGAUAGUACCUUACUACUUGGAUAACCGUGGUAAUUCUAGAGCUAAUACAUGCUAAAAAUCCCGACUUCGGAAGGGAUGUAUUUAUUAGAUUAAAAACCAAUGCCCUUCGGGGCUCACUGGUGAUUCAUGAUAACUCCUCGAAUCGCAUGGCCUUGUGCCGGCGAUGGUUCAUUCAAAUUUCUUCCCUAUCAACUUUCGAUGUUUGGGUAUUGGCCAAACAUGGUUGCAACGGGUAACGGAGGGUUAGGGCUCGACCCCGGAGAAGGAGCCUGAGAAACGGCUACUACAUCCAAGGAAGGCAGCAGGCGCGCAAAUUACCCAAUCCCGACACGGGGAGGUAGUGACAAUAAAUACUGAUACAGGGCUCUUUUGGGUCUUGUAAUUGGAAUGAGUACAAUUUAAAUCCCUUAACGAGGAACAAUUGGAGGGCAAGUCUGGUGCCAGCAGCCGCGGUAAUUCCAGCUCCAAUAGCGUAUAUUAAAGUUGUUGUGGUUAAAAAGCUCGUAGUUGAACCUUGGGCCUGGCUGGCCGGUCCGCCUCACCGCGUGUACUGGUCCGGCCGGGCCUUUCCCUCUGUGGAACCCCAUGCCCUUCACUGGGUGUGGCGGGGAAACAGGACUUUUACUGUGAAAAAAAUUAGAGUGCUCCAGGCAGGCCUAUGCUCGAAAUACAUUAGCAUGGAAAUAAUAGAAUAGGACGUGUGGUUCUAUUUUGUUGGUUUCUAGGACCGCCGUAAUGAUUAAUAGGGACAG